rnacentral:rRNA from 1 species
CGUGCCUAAUACAUGCAAGUCGAACGCACUCUCGUUUAGAUUGAAGGAGCUUGCUCCUGAUUGAUAAACAUUUGAGUGAGUGGCGGACGGGUGAGUAACACGUGGGUAACCUGCCCUAAAGUGGGGGAUAACAUUUGGAAACAGAUGCUAAUACCGCAUAAAACCUAACACCGCAUGGUGUAGGGUUGAAAGAUGGUUUCGGCUAUCACUUUAGGAUGGACCCGCGGUGCAUUAGUUAGUUGGUGAGGUAAAGGCUCACCAAGACCGUGAUGCAUAGCCGACCUGAGAGGGUAAUCGGCCACACUGGGACUGAGACACGGCCCAGACUCCUACGGGAGGCAGCAGUAGGGAAUCUUCCACAAUGGACGAAAGUCUGAUGGAGCAACGCCGCGUGAGUGAAGAAGGUUUUCGGAUCGUAAAACUCUGUUGUUGGAGAAGAAUGUAUCUGAUAGUAACUGAUCAGGUAGUGACGGUAUCCAACCAGAAAGCCACGGCUAACUACGUGCCAGCAGCCGCGGUAAUACGUAGGUGGCAAGCGUUGUCCGGAUUUAUUGGGCGUAAAGCGAGCGCAGGCGGUUUCUUAAGUCUGAUGUGAAAGCCUUCGGCUCAACCGAAGAAGUGCAUCGGAAACUGGGAAACUUGAGUGCAGAAGAGGACAGUGGAACUCCAUGUGUAGCGGUGAAAUGCGUAGAUAUAUGGAAGAACACCAGUGGCGAAGGCGGCUGUCUGGUCUGUAACUGACGCUGAGGCUCGAAAGCAUGGGUAGCAAACAGGAUUAGAUACCCUGGUAGUCCAUGCCGUAAACGAUGAGUGCUA